rnacentral:rRNA from 1 species
AGAGUUUGAUCCUGGCUCAGGAUGAACGCUGGCGGUAUGCUUAACACAUGCAAGUCGAACGAAAGUNUUUAUACUUUAGUGGCGAACGGGUGCGUAAUACGUGAGAAUCUGCCCUUAGGAGGAGGAUAACUGCUGGAAACGGCUGCUAACACUCCAUAUGUCGAGAGAUGAAAUAAUUUAUUGCCUAAGGAUGAGCUCGCGCCUGAUUAGCUAGUUGGUGAGGUAAUGGCUCACCAAGGCCACGAUCAGUAGCUGGUUUGAGAGAACGAUCAGCCACACUGGGACUGAGACACGGCCCAGACUCCUCCGGGAGGCAGCAGUGAGGAAUUUUCCGCAAUGGGCGAAAGCCUGACGGAGCAAUACCGCGUGAGGGAUGAAGGAUUUUGGUCUGUAAACCUCUUUUCUCAAGAAAGAAGUUCUGACGGUACUUGAGGAAUAAGCAUCGGCUAACUCCGUGCCAGCAGCCGCGGUAAUACGGGGGAUGCAAGCGUUAUCCGGAAUCAUUGGGCGUAAAGCGCCUGUAGGUUGUUUAAUAAGUCUGUUGUUAAAGACUAGGGCUUAACCCUAGAAAAGCAAUGGAAACUACUAGACUAGAGUAUGGCAGGGGUAGAGGGAAUUUCUAGUGUAGCGGUGAAAUGCGUAGAUAUUAGAAAGAACACCGGUGGCGAAAGCGCUCUACUGGACCAUUACUGACACUCAGAGGCGAAAGCUAGGGUAGCAAAAGGGAUUAGAUACCCCUGUAGUCCUAGCCGUAAACGAUGGAUACUAGAUGUUGUGCAUAAUGUACAGUAUCGUAGCUAACGCGUUAAGUAUCCCGCCUGGGGAGUACGCUCGCAAGGGUGAAACUCAAAGGAAUUGACGGGGGCCCGCACAAGCGGUGGAGCAUGUGGUUUAAUUCGAUGCAACGCGAAGAACC